ACUCCUACGGGAGGCAGCAGUGGGGAAUAUUGCACAAUGGGCGCAAGCCUGAUGCAGCCAUGCCGCGUGUAUGAAGAAGGCCUUCGGGUUGUAAAGUACUUUCAGCAGUGAGGAAGGCGGGUACGUUAAUAGCGUGCUUGUUUGACGUUAGCUGCAGAAGAAGCACCGGCUAACUCCGUGCCAGCAGCCGCGGUAAUACGGAGGGUGCGAGCGUUAAUCGGAAUUACUGGGCGUAAAGCGCAUGCAGGUGGUUUGUUAAGUCAGAUGUGAAAGCCCGGGGCUCAACCUCGGAAUUGCAUUUGAAACUGGCAGACUAGAGUACUGUAGAGGGGGGUAGAAUUUCAGGUGUAGCGGUGAAAUGCGUAGAGAUCUGAAGGAAUACCGGUGGCGAAGGCGGCCCCCUGGACAGAUACUGACACUCAGAUGCGAAA
rnacentral:rRNA from 1 species